rnacentral:rRNA from 1 species
AUUGAACGCUGGCGGCAGGCCUAACACAUGCAAGUCGAACGAGUGGCGGACGGGUGAGUAAUGUCUGGGAAACUGCCUGAUGGAGGGUGAUAACUACUGGAAACGGUAGCUAAUACCGCAUACCAUCGGAUUUGCCCAGAUGGGAUUAGCUAGUAGGUGGGGUAACGGCUCACCUAGGCGACGAUCCCUAGCUGGGCUGAGAGGAUGAACAGCCACACUGGAACUAAUACACGGUCCAGACGCGUACGGGAGGGAGCAGUGGGGAAUAUUGCACAAUGGGCGCAAGCCUGAUGCAGCCAUGCCGAGUGUGUGAAGAAGGUCUUCGGGUUGUAAAGCACUUUCAGCGGUGAGGCGUUACCCGCAGAAGAAGCACCGGCUAACUCCGUGCCAGCAGCCGCGGUAAUA